ensembl:lncRNA
GGAAGAAAGCCAAGCCCUAUACCAUGGCGGUGAUGGGCUCGUUGGGAUGUCAGUAUAUAUACAUCAAUAUGAUGGAGUUGUGGGGAAGGCUGGGUGAUGUCCCUCUGCUCCUUAGACUUGUGCAUCCAAUGAAUCAGGGCAGUAACCUUGCUGGGUCUUUCUGUUCCUAUAAAGAAAAAAGGGGAGAUACUUGGCAGACACAAGUAUCUUUAGGAACCUGAAGUUAUAGGAUAUGUAAGGUGUCAGACAAAAGAGAACUAACACUCCUUUGAGAGAAGAUAGCAAAAAAAAAAAAAAAAGGUUUUCAGUAACACUCCAGUUUUACACCUUUUUGUCCUCUGGGAAUGAAGGGACGUUCUAGGAAGGGGCCUUGGGGUGCAGGAGCAGCUGGGAAGGCUGUGGAAGUGAGAAGCUGCAAGCUCAAUGAAACAAGGUGGUUUCUAAAGCAGCCUCAUGGUACAUUUGUUAUUUAUUCCCCGAUAGGCAACGCAGAGGCUGCAAUUCUACAGUCAGGGAAGGAAGACACGCGAGCAAUUUCCUGAGUGACUGUUAAUCAGUCAGGGAGAAACAGUGACAGGGCAGGGGUAAUGUGCAGGGAGCGUGAAGAGCAUCUUCACUGUCCCCACUGCGCAGCUUCAACUGCCCAGACAAGCUUGUUUUCCAUCCAUUGCAGGGAAUCUGUUGACCCUUCCUUAGCCAGUCACAAAUGCCUUCAUCUGUAAAAUGAUGGUGAGAAAUGCUUAAUCUUCCAAGAUGAAUCUAACAGAUGCUUCUCCCAGGAAAUGAAUGAAAGGUUGCAGCUUUGCUUGAGCGAUUGUGAGUCAGGUAUGAGUCAUUUCUUCCCUUGAAGGGCAUAUGGAUGAGCUUUGCUGAUAAACACACAGGGAGCACAAAGUCUGGGGUUAAAGGUUAUCACAGGAAGGAGAAACUUAACAACAACCAAAAAAAAGCAACACAGAAGACAAUACGAAAAUCCUCUGGGAUAUAUCAGUGUACUCUGAACCAUCUUCUGCUGCCAGCACGAUGCAUUAGCUGGAGGUUUUAAAGACAUCGUCUCUUUCACUGUAACUUAGAAAAGUGGGCAGGAGUUUUCUGUCUGAAUGGUAUUUGGAUGUAUUUCUACCAUAUAGCUAGCUUCUGUUACACCUGAUCGCUGCAGUGUGUUAUGAGGCCAGGAAAUCAGUAGUUGUGGACAAAAGUCAAUGGCAACUGUACAGACUAAUAAGCCACUGAGUGUGGCAGCACAGAAUAUCUGAAACCUGAGUAAUCGUUCUGUGUAAAGAAAUAGCCAUUUGCAGGGGAUAACUUUGUGCUGGAUGGCUUCCCAACUAGCAGUGACUGUAAAUAAAUGAAGGCAGUACAGAAGCUGCUGGCCAAAAUGACCUAGUCUUGUGCUAUACCAAUGAGAAUAAGGGCUCGCAGUGAUCGUACUGGGUGUAGAAAUUGUUCCUGGAGCAGACCACAACUGUUUUUAGAUGAUCCUGUUAGCUCAGUAGUGAUCCCUGCUUCCAUACGAUGUCGGAAGAGGAAAAGCUGGCUGCAGCAGCAGCAAGUUAGAAUCAUAUGGAACAGCAUGAGUUGGAAGGGACCUUAAAGCCCACCCAGUUUCAACCCCCUGCUGUGGGCUGUUCCCUCCCCGACCAGCUCAGGCUGCCCAGGGCCCCAUCCAGACUGGCCUUGAGUGCCUCCAGGGAUGGGGCAUUCACUGCUUCUCUAGGCAGCCUAUGCCAGGGCCUCACUACCCUCUGGGUAAAAAUUUUUUUCUUAAUAUCUAAUCUAGAUGCCCACUCUUUUAGUUUAAAACCAUUCCCCCUUCUCCUAUCUCUGUCAGACUGUGUAAAACAUCAGUCUCCCUCCUGUUUGAAAGCUCCUUUGAAGUACUGGAAGGACACAAGGAAGUUUACUCACAGCCUUCUCUUCUCCAAGCUAAACAAGCCCAGCUCUCUCAACCUUUCUUCACAGGGGAGGUGCUCCAGCCCUCUGAUCAUCUUUGUGGCCCUCGUCGGGACCUGCUCCAACAACUUCACAUCCUUCUUGCGCUGGGGGUUAGGGUUAGGAUCCUCCAAUUUAGAGAUAGAGAUGUGGUGUGGAGCCAUGUCAAAGGCCUUGCACAAGUCCGGGUAAAUGACAUCAGUUUCCUUUCCUAGGUCCACUGAUGCUGUCACUUCAUCACAGAAGACCACCAGAUAGGUCAUGCAUAAUAUGGCAUUGGAGCCAUGCUGGGUGUCUUGAAUCAUCUGCUCAUGUCUCAUGUGCCUUAACAUGUUUUCUAGGAGGAUCUGUUCCACUAUCUUCCAGGCGCAGAAGUGAGGCUUACCGUCCUGUAGUCUUCUUUUUCUUGCUUUCUUAAAAAUGGGAAUGUUGUUUCCCUUUUUCCAGUCACCAGGGACUUCACCUGGCAGCCACAGCUUCAAUCCAUCCCGAUAGAUUUGUACACAUUCAGCCUUAUGAGGUAGUCUCAGACUUGCCCUGCUGUCAGAGGCCAAAUUAGCAUUCAUUGUGUCUCAUCUGAUGGAGCUAAUCCCACCCGAGUGUGGCCAGCCACCAAUUUUCACAUACUGCCAUUCUGACUGUUUUACUGUCAAGCUGUUUCUUAGUGACGUACAUUCAUUCAAGGCAAAGGGCUUACAAAACGCAACACAGCAUUCUGCCUUAGGAGGCAUUGCAGUGAAGCCUGUAAAAAGAGUUCAAGUGUUUCACUAGCCUGACUGAAGAGAUGGCACAGAUUUGCUUGUUAGCACACAAGUCCAUCCCUAGGUCAGGAACAAUUACUCUGAGUUCAACUUAAUUAUGCUAAUCAAGCAAGCAAUUAGAAGGAUAAGGGUGAGUGACUUGCAGAGAUGAAGAAAUAGCUAGCCUUUUUGGUAAAAAGGAUGACUUGUAAUUAGUGUGAAUGGAAAACUGAGAGCUGCGUUUGGACUGAGAGAGGAAGAAGUGGAGUGCAUUACCAGCCUACAUAGACAUUGGACAGAACAUCUUUCUUCAGUGUUCUUGUCCUUUGAGUUCUGAUUGUGACGUCCACGCAAACAGGCCUGCAACAAGACCUCUCUUGAAAACAACAAUGGUGAAUUAUGCAUACUUCGACUUCUC